AGAAACAUGUCUGACAAAAGAGUUACUUUGAUAGAGUAAAUAAUAGGGGUUUAAAUCCCCUUGUUUCUA
rnacentral:tRNA from 1 species